UACAGAGGGUGCAAGCGUUAAUCGGAGUUACUGGGCGUAAAGGGCGCGUAGGCGGAUAUUUAAGUCGGAUGUGAAAUCCCUGGGCUUAACCUAGGAAUUGCAUUCGAAACUAGAUGACUAGAGUAUGGGAGAGGAAAGUGGAAUUCCCGGUGUAGUAGUAAAAUACGUAGAUAUCGGGAGGAACACCAGUGCGAAGGCGGCUUUCUGGCCCAAUACUGACGCUGAGGCGCGAGAGCGUGGGGAGCAAACAGG
rnacentral:rRNA from 1 species